UGGCUCAGAUUGAACGCUGGCGGCAGGCCUAACACAUGCAAGUCGAACGGUAACAGGAAGCAGCUUGCUGCUUUGCUGACGAGUGGCGGACGGGUGAGUAAUGUCUGGGAAACUGCCUGAUGGAGGGGGAUAACUACUGGAAACGGUGGCUAAUACCGCAUAACGUCGCAAGACCAAAGAGGGGGACCUUCGGGCCUCUUGCCAUCAGAUGUGCCCAGAUGGGAUUAGCUUGUUGGUGAGGUAACGGCUCACCAAGGCGACGAUCCCUAGCUGGUCUGAGAGGAUGACCAGCCACACUGGAACUGAGACACGGUCCAGACUCCUACGGGAGGCAGCAGUGGGGAAUAUUGCACAAUGGGCGCAAGCCUGAUGCAGCCAUGCCGCGUGUAUGAAGAAGGCCUUCGGGUUGUAAAGUACUUUCAGCGGGGAGGAAGGUGUUGUGGUUAAUAACCGCA
rnacentral:rRNA from 1 species